GCCUGCUGUCUUUAACAGUUCACAUGUGUUCGUCCUCCCUAUUUGGUCAGCUUGGCAGUUGUUUCUGAAAUCUGAUUCCCGACGCCAUGGGGAUGACCUUUGGUCCGCUUCCCAGCAUUCACCUGCAGUCAGAUUGCUCACUAUAAGCUCCUUACAGAGAAGUGGUUGACUUGGAGUGAAUGGACUGAUGACUGUAGCAGGCAAACUUCUAACCCAAUAGGAGGGAGAAUUUGUAGCUCGUGUUAGGAGACAGCAGCGGACAAUGCGGAGAAUCUAAAAGAGCAUUUCUUCUACUUCGACUCCAGAAUCAGGCCAACCUCCUGGUAAUGGUCAGGACAUAAAAAAGAAACACCGGAAAAAGAAGAGCACAGAAAAAUCUGGUGGUCAAGACGCCUUGAAUUUCUUACCUGAUACUGCUGCACCGCUGGCUGCUGAUGUCUCCCCAUUGAGUACAGGGUGUUCAAGCCCAGGCAGAGAGAGCUGGUCAGUAGUGUCUGAUUUGAAGGAAGAUGAUCCCCAGCAAGGAGUUAGGCGCCAUAAUCUUCUUUUUGCUGGUCUGGAUAUUAAGGAAGAUGCAAGUUCACAGACCCCAGCUGUAAGCAGCAUCGGUAAUGAAGGCAUCUGUAGCUACACUGCUGAAGAUUUACUCAAUCCGCAUUCAUGUGCAGUGUCUUCAGCGGUGACAGGCCAGAGCAAUAUCCUGAAAGAACAUGGAGAACAAGCUGGCUCCAGCUUCUUAAUCCAGGCUGCAGGAGCAGAUGCUAAGG
rnacentral:lncRNA from 1 species